rnacentral:misc_RNA from 1 species
GAAAUGCGAUAAGUAAUGUGAAUUGCAGAAUUCAGUGAAUCAUCGAAUCUUUGAACGCACCUUGCGCCCUUUGGUAUUCCGAAGGGCAUGCCUGUUUGAGUGUCAUUAAAUUCUCAAAGCCCUAGUCGGUUUUACAUCGAUUAGGACUUUGGACUGUGAGGGUUGCUGGUCCUUUUGGAUCAGACUCCCUUUAAAUACAUUAGUGGUUACCGAUCCGCUUCCACUUGGUGUGAUAGUCUAUCUACGCCUUUGGAAUGAUCAGUUGUGAUCCGCUUUCGAACCGUCUGACCUUUUCGUCGGACAGCUCUUGACAAUUUGACCUCAAAUCAGGUAGGACUACCCGCUGAACUUAA